UGUACCACCUUGUCGGGUAGCUUAUCAGACUGAUGUUGACUGUUGAAUCUCAUGGCAACAGCAGUCGAUGGGCUGUCUGACAUUUUGGUAUC
ensembl:miRNA Mir21 microRNA mir-21